AUUACUCUUAAUCAGGGAAGUCCCUUCGGGGACAGGAUGACAGGUGGUGCAUGGUUGUCGUCAGCUCGUGUCGUGAGAUGUUGGGUUAAGUCCCGCAACGAGCGCAACCCUUAUUGUUAGUUGCCAUCAUUAAGUUGGGCACUCUAGCGAGACUGCCCGGGUUAACCGGGAGGAAGGUGGGGAUGACGUCAAAUCAUCAUGCCCCUUAUGUCUAGGGCUACACACGUGCUACAAUGGUCGGUACAAUAAGACGCAAGCCCGCGAGGGGGAGCAAAACUGGAAAACCGAUCUCAGUUCGGAUUGUAGGCUGAAACUCGCCUACAUGAAGCUGGAGUUGCUAGUAAUCGCGAAUCAGCAUGUCGCGGUGAAUACGUUCCCGGGUCUUGUACAC
rnacentral:rRNA from 1 species